rnacentral:rRNA from 1 species
UACGUAGGGUGCAAGCGUUAAUCGGAAUUACUGGGCGUAAAGCGUGCGCAGGCGGUCUUGCAAGACAGAUGUGAAAUCCCCGGGCUCAACCUGGGAACUGCAUUUGUGACUGCAAGGCUAGAGUACGGUAGAGGGGGAUGGAAUUCCGCGUGUAGCGGUGAAAUGCGUAGAUAUGCGGAGGAACACCGAUGGCGAAGGCAACCCCCUGGACCUGGACUGACGCUCAGGUGCGAAAGCGUGGGGAGCAAACAGG